GAUACCAUUACCAUUUUUGUUUUGCACCCAAACACUGCAACUUUUUCUUGCCAAUUCUUCCCUUAUCUUGCAACUUAUAAACCCAUGAAAAAUAGAUCUCCAUUUCAAAGCAUUUUCUCAAUCUUUCUUCUUCCUCUUCUCUAAUCACCCUUUCAGAUUUGGCUUUCAACUUUCAUUUUGACCCACGAAAAAUAGUGCGCAACUUAUCCUUCUCUUCUCCGUUUCGUGGCUCAAAGCAUUUUCUCUGUCUUUCUUCUUCCUCUUCUCUAAUCUCCAUUUCAGAUUUGGCUUUCAACUAUCAUUUUGACCCACGAAAAAUAGAUUCCACUUCAAAGCAUUUUCUCUGUCUUUCUUCUUCCUCUUCCCUAAUCUCCAUUUCAGAUUUAGCUUUCUGCUUUCAUUGCAGAUCUACUUUUGCUGAUUGUGUGUCUAUUGAUACAAAGAAAAGACAGCACCCGAGAAGAGAGAAGCAAAUUAUGGAGCUCUGGAACUUCAACCAUCUUUGGACCAAUGAUUUGGCUUUCAGCUUUUAUUUCAGAUUUACGUUUCCCUAUUGUGUGGCCAUUGAUACAAAGAAAAGAGAGCUCAAGAGAAGACAAAAACAAAUUACAGAGCUGUGGAAUUUCAACCAUCUUUGGACCAAUGCAUCAGGACUUUCUCUGAGGUUUUACAAGAUCUGAGUUUUCUAUAUUUAAAGCAUUAACACUUUCUCUGAGGUUUUACAAGAUCUGAGUCUACUAUAUUUCAAGUGAUAGUUUAUGCAUUAGAUCACAACAAAGCAUGGAUAACAAAACUGCAACUCCUUUUGCAAAGAAAAGAAGUUGGUAUGCAAAUUUAUCUGAAGAAAGAAAAGAACAACUGAAAAAAAGAAGAGAUACAUAUGCAAAAAAAAAAGAGAUCUAUCAAACCUACAGGUAUAAAAUAAUACUUGUUUGUAUUCUUAAGCAUAUUAAGAUAUUUUAUACCUCUAUAUUAAUUGAUAAUUAUGAUUUAAUAAUUAUCAGUUCAAAAUAUAGGCUUGAACACGAGCUCCUCCAUUUCUUGCGAAGCUGGUAAGGAGUUUAGUAAUUUUAAGCUAUAAAUGAUCAAUGAUUAACAUCAUUGUAACUGCUGUACUAUUUUCUUUUAGGAUCUUCUUCAAGUCAUUCGCAGAUUUAUGUGGAUCCCUCAGACAUAUCAAUUGAGAUUAACCAAAAUAACAUUCUCUCCUUCACUUCUUCUGAAGUUGGUAAUGGACUUAGCAAUCUAAGGUUACUCAUGGUCAACUAGAGUUGUAAAUACGGGCCGAACUUUCCAGCAUGGCAUGAAAUCGACAUGAGCCCGGGAGGCACGAGCACGAUACUGCACGAAAAAAUAUGGGCUUGGGUCAGGCACGACACGAAUUAGAAAUUGGCACAGCACAACACGAUAUGGGCCUGAGCACGGCGCGGCACGACAAACCCGAAGGCACAACACGAAAGCAUAAACAAACUAGCCCGAAAGCACGACACGAUAAAAGUCCGAUAUUUUGACAUUAAUAAUGAUAAUAUUUUUUUAUUUGUCAAUUAUCUAUAAAUUAAAAUGAUAAUACAAGUUUAUUAUUUUUCUCAA